rnacentral:misc_RNA from 2 species
AACGCACAUUGCGCCCCCUGGUAUUCCGGGGGGCAUGCCUGUUCGAGCGUCAUUUCAACCUUCAAGCUCUGCUUGGUAUUGGGCCUGCGCUGGUCUCCCAGCGGGCCUCAAAAUCAGUGGCGGUGCCAUCUGGCUUCAAGCGUAGUAACACAUCUCGCUUCUGGAGACCCAGGCGGUUGCCUGCCAGCAACCCCAUCUUCUCAGGUUGACCUCGGAUCAGGUAGGGCUACCCGCUGAACUUAA